rnacentral:lncRNA from 1 species
CAACCUAUGAUUUCCAAGACAACCAGCUGAACGGAGAUGAUGCAGUGCCUUGGUGGCAGCGGAAAAAUGUCAGAAUCACGGAAGUGGAAUCCGGUGAGGAACAUAAAUUUGGAUCUUCCAACUUGCCUGCAGGUAACGACCGACCACCUCAGAGGUCUUGGGUGCCUCCUCAGCCACCUCCCGUGGUGAUACCUGAAGCAGCCACGGCCAUACGCCAACCAAAGAAGGCUGCAAUUCAGACAGAGCCAAUGAACGAUGACCAAUUCUUAGCUCGUUCAGGAGAUGCAACCGAUGAGUUGCAGAGAAUCACCAGAAUCUCCGAA